rnacentral:tRNA from 2 species
GGAGGGGUCGCAUAGUGGCCGAGUGCGGGCGCCUGCUAAGCGCUUAUCGAGGGUUUCCUCGAUCGUGGGUUCGAAUCCCACCCCCUCCGCCA